AAGCCUAAGUUGUUGUAAUUUUUUUUUACUUUGAAUAUCUAUUUAACUUGAAUUUUACUUAACUAUUUUGUUCUCUCACUUCUACUCUCUCAAUUAUUUUGCAAUUCUUCUUACUUCUCUCUACAAUUUCUGAAAACAUGUAAGUUUUU
rnacentral:sRNA from 1 species